rnacentral:rRNA from 1 species
UAGCUAGUUGGUGAGGUAAAGGCUUACCAAGGCGACGAUCUGUAGCGGGUCUGAGAGGAUGAUCCGCCACACUGGAACUGAGACACGGUCCAGACUCCUACGGGAGGCAGCAGUGGGGAAUUUUGGACAAUGGGGGCAACCCUGAUCCAGCCAUGCCGCGUGAGUGAAGAAGGCCUUCGGGUUGUAAAGCUCUUUCGGCCGGGAAGAAAUCGCAUGGGCCAAUACCCUGUGUGGAUGACGUUACCGGAAUAAGAAGCACCGGCUAACUACGUGCCAGCAGCCGCGGUAAUACGUAGGGUGCGAGCGUUAAUCGGAAUUACUGGGCGUAAAGCGUGCGCAGGCGGUUUUGUAAGACAGGCGUGAAAUCCCCGGGCUUAACCUGGGAACUGCGUUUGUGACUGCAAGGCUAGAGUACGGCAGAGGGGGGUGGAAUUCCACGUGUAGCAGUGAAAUGCGUAGAGAUGUGGAGGAACACCAAUGGCGAAGGCAGCCCCCUGGGUCGAUACUGACGCUCAUGCACGAAAGCGUGGGUAGCAAACAGGAUUAGAUACCCUGGUAGUCCACGCCCUAAACUAUGUCAACUAGGUGUUGGGUGGGUAAAACCAUUUAGUACCGUAGCUAACGCGUGAAGUUGACCGCCUGGGGAGUACGGCCGCAAGGUUAAAACUCAAAGGAAUUGACGGGGACCCGCACAAGCGGUGGAUGAUGUGGAUUAAUUCGAUGCAACGCGAAAAACCUUACCUACCCUUGACAUGCCAGGAACUUGCCAGAGAUGGCUUGGUGCCCGAAAGGGAGCCUGGACACAGGUGCUGCAUGGCUGUCGUCAGCUCGUGUCGUGAGAUGUUGGGUUAAGUCCCGCAACGAGCGCAACCCUUGUCGUUAAUUGCCAUCAUUUGGUUGGGCACUUUAACGAGACUGCCGGUGACAAACCGGAGGAAGGUGGGGAUGACGUCAAGUCCUCAUGGCCCUUAUGGGUAGGGCUUCACACGUCAUACAAUGGUCGGUACAAAGGGUUGCCAAGCCGCGAGGCGGAGCCAAUCCCAGAAAGCCGAUCGUAGUCCGGAUUGCAGGCUGCAACUUGCCUGCAUGAAGUCGGAAUCGCUAGUAAUCGUGGAUCAGCAUGUCACGGUGAAUACGUUCCCGGGUCUUGUACACACCGCCCGUCACACCAUGGGAGCGGGUUCCGCCAGAAGUAGGUAGCCUAACCGCAAGGGGGGCGCUUACCACGGCGGGGUUCGUGACUGGGGUGAAGUCGGAACAAGGUAGCCGUAGGGGAACCUGCGGCUG